GGGACCGCAAGCGGCGAGCCGUUGGCUGCAUCUAACUACCGGCGGGGCCAACGACCUUAGCUUCUCCUUCCCGCAUGUUCUCGUCCUCUCCUCUCCUCUCCGCUCGUCGUCCACCCACCCCUCGUGCUCGUCUCACUCUUCACCUCCAGCUCCGGAUCUGAAACGCCGAGCAAUCUUUCGUCGUUUCGAGUCUCAUCCAGAGCUUCUCGGUGAGUGCGACAAUUGGGCCGGAGAACUGGGAAAGCCUCGAGGAGACAUGGAUGGGUUGCCCAGAGAGCUGUGCCUCAAGAUCUUCCACCUCCUGGAUCACCAGUCCCUCGCCUCUUCUCCCCAAGUUUGCAGGAAAUGGAGGGCGUUGACCUCGGAUGAUGAACUGUGGCGCAAGCUGUUCAACGACAGGUGGGGAGCGGACGCUGCAGCGUUCUACGCGCCGGAGGGCUCCAAGUCUUGGAAGGACGUCUUCGCCGUGCAGGACCGGUGCGACCGAUACGGACUGUAAGCCGCCACUCGCCCAUCUGCUCCAGCUCCACUGCUUCCGAUUGCCAUCAGCAGCUGGUGUUACUGCUGUCGACCAACAGUUCAGCCGCCUCCUUUCCCUUUGUUUUUGUUUGGCCUGGGUGUCAGGAUCAUCAGGGAAGGGAAGGACUACUACCUGAUCUACCAGGGCGAGAUCCAGAGGUACUUGGGCUCCCGCCAGGACACGGAUGGCGACUGCGGCGAGGACGCGCCACGGCGGGACGCUGGAGACGAGCAUCGGCAGAUAUCCGACCGGAUCCUGUUCUUCCUCGGGGAUCUGGAGAAAGCCUGCGCCGACGCCAAACGUGUUAAGGCCUGAACACGCGCUACCCUUGUGCCCCUGAUCAUCAUCAGCACAAUAUUCCACGCUGAGUCUUGUUAAUUUGUGCAUGUCUCGUGCAUAGUUUCUCACCAUCAAUUCAUGUAGUUGGAAAUCAUGCUCACAUCGACACUGAAAUUAUAAUUCAAGUACAGUCGUUUAGAGGGUAAAACUACCUGAUCCCCACAA